GACGGGGGGGGGCAAGUGUUCUUCGGAAUGACUGGGCGUAAAGGGCGCGUAGGCGGAUGGCACAGUCAGAUGUGAAAUUCCCGGGCUUAACCUGGGGGCUGCAUUUGAUACGUGUUGUCUAGAGUGAGGAAGAGGGUCGUGGAAUUCCCAGUGUAGAGGUGAAAUUCGUAGAUAUUGGGAAGAACACCGGUGGCGAAGGCGGCGACCUGGUCCUUGACUGACGCUGAGGCGCGAAAAGCGUGGGGGAGCAAACAGG
rnacentral:rRNA from 1 species